UAACGCGUGGAUAACCUGCCUUACACUGGGGGAUAACACUUAGAAAUAGGUGCUAAUACCGCAUAAGCGCACAGAGCCGCAUGGCUCAGUGUGAAAAACUCCGGUGGUAUACGAUGGAUCCGCGUCUGAUUAGCCAGUUGGCGGGGUAACGGCCCACCAAAGCGACGAUCAGUAGCCGGCCUGAGAGGGUGAACGGCCACAUUGGGACUGAGACACGGCCCAAACUCCUACGGGAGGCAGCAGUGGGGAAUAUUGCACAAUGGGGGAAACCCUGAUGCAGCGACGCCGCGUGAGUGAAGAAGUAUUUCGGUACGUAAAGCUCUAUCAGCAGGGAAGAAAAAAAGUCCUUUGGACUUUGGACGGUACCUGACUAAGAAGCCCCGGCUAACUACGUGCCAGCAGCCGCGGUAAUACGUAGGGGGCAAGCGUUAUCCGGAUUUACUGGGUGUAAAGGGAGCGUAGACGGCUGUGCAAGUCUGAAGUGAAAGCCCAGGGCUCAACCCUGGGACUGCUUUGGAAACUGUGGAGCUAGAGUGCUGGAGAGGUAAGUGGAAUUCCUAGUGUAGCGGUGAAAUGCGUAGAUAUUAGGAGGAACACCAGUGGCGAAGGCGGCUUACUGGACAGUAACUGACGUUGAGGCUCGAAAGCGUGGGGAGCAGACAGGAUUAGA
rnacentral:rRNA from 1 species